GCGCAAGGCAGAGCAAGGCGGACCGGAGAUGGAGCGGGAGAGGUUGCAAGCAUGGACGGGAAGGAGCGAGAAGAUCGCUAGAAAAUGGAGAAGAUUGCGGGAAGUUUGCUGGCUGAAGGAAAGGAGAGAUUAGGGUAGGCUUUGCAUAUAUAUACACACAAAAGGGGUGGCGGCGGCUCGAUCUAUUCCGUCGUCUCUUCGUCCUCCGGCUGCCGAGACGAAGAGAUUCACCUCAUCCUCUCACCACGCAGCCAUGGCUUCUUCAUCCCCGCCAUCCCGCGCAGCCAUCUGAGGUCCCGCCUUCUUCCGUACUGUAGUUGUUCUCGACAGCUCAUACUACGAGGAGGUUAAAGACGGCUGGUCAUAUCUAGCACCUGAAGAAGCAACGGAAGUAUCAGCUAGUCUGAAGGAUGUCCGACACAAAUGCAACAUCGGCAUCGCAGGAAGAGAAUGUCCUUAAGAGAAAGUCAGAUGAUGUGGGAUGGGAGUACGGGAGUCUAGCUGAUGCUUCCAAAAAGGAUAAAGUGAAGUGU